rnacentral:rRNA from 1 species
AACGAACGCUGGCGGCAGGCUUAACACAUGCAAGUCGAGCGCCCCGCAAGGGGAGCGGCAGACGGGUGAGUAACGCGUGGGAACGUACCUUUUGGUUCGGAACAACUACGGGAAACUGGAGCUAAUACCGGAUAAGCCCUAACGGGGAAAGAUUUAUCGCCGAAAGAUCGGCCCGCGUCUGAUUAGCUAGUUGGUGAGGUAACGGCUCACCAAGGCGACGAUCAGUAGCUGGUCUGAGAGGAUGAUCAGCCACACUGGGACUGAGACACGGCCCAGACUCCUACGGGAGGCAGCAGUGGGGAAUAUUGGACAAUGGGCGCAAGCCUGAUCCAGCCAUGCCGCGUGAGUGAUGAAGGCCUUAGGGUUGUAAAGCUCUUUUGUCCGGGAAGAUAAUGACUGUACCGGAAGAAUAAGCCCCGGCUAACUUCGUG